CUGCUGGGAUCAGAGGGCUGCUUCCACCAUGGCCUGGACUUCUCUUUUCAUCCUGGUCCUCUCUCACUGCUCAGUUUCCUACUCUCAGGAUCUGGUGACUCAGGAACCCUCACUCUCUGCAUCUCCUGGAGCAGCUGCCAGACUUACUUGCACCUUGAAAAGUGAUAUCAGUGUUGGUAAUUACAGAAUAAACUGGUUCCAGCAGAAGCCACAGAGCCCUCCCCAGUUUCUCCUACACUACUACUCAGACUCAGAUAAGCAACUGGGUUCUGGCAUCCCCAGCCGCUUCUCUGGUUCAAAAGACACCUCAGCCAAUGCAGGCGUUUUGCGUAUUUCUGGGCUGCAGCCUGAGGAUGAAGCUGACUAUUACUGUGGCAUCUGGCACAGCAGUGCUCAUCACAGUGACACCCAUGGAUGGAGAAGUGGCACAAAAACCCCAGCCUGCCCUGAAAUGUAG